GAUGAACGCUAGCGGCAGGCCUAACACAUGCAAGUCGAGGGAGAAGCUCUUUCGGGAGCAGAAACCGGCGCACGGGUGCGUAACGCGUAUGCAACCUACCUUUCACAGGGGGAUAGCCCGAAGAAAUUUGGAUUAAUACCCCAUAAUAUUAUUGGAUGGCAUCAUUUGAUAAUUAAAACUGCGGUGGUGAAAGAUGGGCAUGCGUCCUAUUGGCUAGUUGGAGUGGUAACGGCACCCCAAGGCUACGAUAGGUAGGGGUCCUGAGAGGGAGAUCCCCCACACUGGUACUGAGACAGGGACCAGACUCCUACGGGAGGCAGCAGUGGGGAAUAUUGCACAAUGGGCGCAAGCCUGAUGCAGCGACGCCGCGUGAGGGAUGACGGCCUUCGGGUUGUAAACCUCUGUUAGCAGGGAAGAAGAGAGAUUGACGGUACCUGCAGAGAAAGCGCCGGCUAACUACGUGCCAGCAGCCGCGGUAAUACGUAGGGCGCGAGCGUUGUCCGGAAUUAUUGGGCGUAAAGAGCUUGUAGGCGGUUUGUCGCGUCUGCUGUGAAAGGCCGGGGCUUAACCCCGUGUAUUGCAGUGGGUACGGGCAGACUAGAGUGCAGUAGGGGAGACUGGAAUUCCUGGUGUAGCGGUGGAAUGCGCAGAUAUCAGGAGGAACACCGAUGGCGAAGGCAGGUCUCUGGGCUGUAACUGACGCUGAGAAGCGAAAGCAUGGGGAGCGAACAGG
rnacentral:rRNA from 1 species